UACAGAGGUCUCAAGCGUUGUUCGGAUUCAUUGGGCGUAAAGGGUGCGUAGGCGGCGCGGUAAGUCGGGUGUGAAAUCUUGGAGCUUAACUCCGAAACUGCAUUCGAUACUGCCGUGCUUGAGGACUGGAGAGGAGACUGGAAUUUACGGUGUAGCGGUGAAAUGCGUAGAUAUCGUAAGGAAGACCAGGUGGCGGAAGGCGGGUCU
rnacentral:rRNA from 1 species